rnacentral:sRNA from 1 species
AAUAUGUGUUCAAGUUCAUUGUUCGGUCGAGGACAUUAUUUUCACAGCUUUAUGAAGGCAAAGAACAGAUGGAGUUUGAAGAAUCCAUGAGACGGCUCUUUGAAUCCAUCAACAAUCUGAUGAAAAGUCAAUACAAAACUACCAUCCUUUUGCAGGUGGCGGCUUUGAAAUACAUCCCAUCUGUCCUGCAUGAUGUAGAAACAGUCUUUGAUGCGAAGUUACUCAGCCAACUCCUGUAUGAGUUCUACACCUGCAUCCCUCCUGUGAAACUCCAGAAGCAGAAAGUACAGUCUAUGAAUGAGAUAGUCCAGAGCAACCUCUUUAAAAAGCAAGAAUGCCGGGACAUUCUGCUUCCUGUCAUCACCAAAGAGCUGAAGGAGCUGCUGGAGCAGGAUGAUAUGCAACACCAGGUCCUGGAGAAGAAGUACUGCAUUGAAUUGCUCAACAGCAUCUUGGAAGUCCUUAGCUACCAGGAUGUGGCCUUCACCUACCACCACAUCCAGGAGAUCAUGGUCCAGCUGCUGCGGACAGUGAACCGGACAGUCAUCACCAUGGGCCGGGAUCACAUUCUGAUUAACCCAGCUAGAGCCCUUUAACCUCUGCCCAUCGUGCUUUAAACCAAGGACCCAAAAUUCAAAUGCUUACAGGGGCCAGUCACCAACGUAAAUGAGUAUGCCCAACCAUGUCACUCCUCUGCUCAAAUCUGCCAA